AUGACCUCUUUGGUAGCAUGGGAAUCAACACUAUAUAUGCAAGUGGAAGUUUCUUCACCACCCACACAACGCAUAUAUGGUGUGAACUGUAGGUUUGGCUCAAUUACUUACUCAUGGAUACCUAAUACGUUGAGCGUGCUAUCAAACACCACCUUCCUAUUUGUCGGUCUCGCGUGGCUCAUCCUUUGCCACUACACAAACUACUUCAGGCUAUGCUCAGAGGGGGAGCGCUUGAGUUGGACACUGCUUUGCUGGUGUCACUUCUGGCGUGUUGGUUCAUCCUACUACCAUCUCUACGCGAACGAUGCCACCUUUGUUUGGGACAAAUUGCCUGUGACGCUAACAUAUGGGCUUGUUUGUCUAGAUGACGUUGCUUUCACGUCUAUCGUGGCCAUUUUCAGCAUUAAAAGGGUUGAUGAUAGGUCAGGAACAAAGUCCCUUGCACCCCUUGUUAUUGCUGGUGCACUGAGCAUCAUGUACUGGAGGCACGAUCUUUUGAUUGUUUAUCUUUUCUUUGAUGAUCUUCGGCCAUAUGCGGUAAUCCAGUUCAUGCCAUGCAUUGUAAUACUUGUGAUGACUAUAGUUAUUCCACCAAUUGGAUAUACUCUUAAGCAUCUAUGUGCUGCGAUGCUACCUGUUUUCUUUACUCUUAUGUUGGCAAAGAGGAGAAUUGAAGCUGACAGGUAUACAUCAGCUUACUCAAUGCUUCAGGUUUCUUACUCUUUCAAAACAUGGAGUUCAGGUUUUUAG
rnacentral:rRNA from 1 species